GUGAAUGGUGAGAAGAAGGUGCAUUGGAUAGCAUGGGACAAAAUGUGCACGAGGAAUCAUGAAGGAGGACUGGGGUUCAGAGAUCCAGAGGUGUUUAACCAAGCGUUUCUCACAAAGCAGGCUUGGCGGAUGCUACAGAGUCCAAACUCUCUCUGUGCACGUGUUCUCAAAGCUCGGUACUUCCCUGAUAGUUCAAUUCUGAGUGCAACAUGCCCUCAAGGGGGGUCUUUCACUUUCAGGAGCAUAAUCCAUGGAAGAAAU
rnacentral:rRNA from 1 species